GUGAGGUCCUUUUCAAAGGGAUAAUGUUUUGAGUAUGGUGUACAGUGCAAUGUGUUUUUUAAGGUUAUUGAAGGUUUAUGUACAUUUAAAUUCUCUUUCCUCUCAGACAUUGAUGUCAGUAACCCUGAUGAGAAGUCUAUCAUGACAUACAUUGCUCAGUUCCUGCAGUACUCCAAUGAUCUGCCCGUAGCUGAUGAUGAUUUUGAGGUAAGACCAUCUCCAACUGAAACUCCCAUCUAGAUCUCUGCUUUUGUUUGUCUGGCUUUUUAUUCAUUCAUUUCUCUAACCCUCUUUCCCACAUAUGGCUCUUUAACUUUGCUUUCUCCUACUCUCUGUCGCCCCCUCCUGGUUGGAUGCAGCUUCAAACUCUGCUCUUUCCCACAUGCCUUUCUCCUGUCAACCUCCCUACAUACUUCACUCCUGCUGUGCUGGCCUCACCAAUCCACCAGGUACAGACGUCACAGAGCGCUUGUGAAUUCCUCCACAGUUUUCCUCUAUCAAAAUAUCAUUCCAGCAUCAGCCUCUACUUGUUUCAACAUGCUUUCUGAUUUUACAAUCAAUCUCGAAUUCGGUUCUAUGUUUCCUGCCCUGCCCUGCCCUGCCCUGCCCUUAGGCUUCACCCAGUCAGAAAGCCAGAGAGAUGAAAUGCUGGCUAGAGCGAGCCUAUCAGGAGUUACUGGAGGCGUGGAAUUCCACAGAAGGGAAGGGAUAUGCACAGAGGUAUCAGGUAUGCUGAAUGUAAAAUGGUAAAUUAUCACUUCCUAAUAUGCAACAUGCAUCUUAUGACAAGCCCUGAAUGUGAAUGUGUGUGUUUUUAUCCAAGGCAUUUCAGAACUUUGUGGGGACUUAUUAUGACCAACGACGUCCAGUUAUUCCACUUCUCAGUGCAAUGAGACGCUGCGCUAAACUAAGUGAGGAGCAGAUGGCACUGAGAAAAGCAUGGGACAGCAUGGAGGAGAGGCUGCAAGAGUAUAGAACAGAGCUUGAUGUUGGUUUGCCAGCCCCUCUGAACACACUGGGCCGGUGGCUCCAGCAUAUGGAGGCUGUGCUAUCUGAAGACAGCGGGAGCGCUGAAGAUCAUGCACUUGCUUCCAGAGACGCCAGACACAAGCAUGAACAGCUGAAGGUCAGUGUGCAGACAGGAAUUAUCAUGCUUCACUGUGUAAUUCUGAAUUAUGUGCAUAUCUUUGUUUGCUCUUCAUGUUUCCUUAGGUCUUGGUUGAGGACUUAAGCCAGCACUUGAACACCCUUCAUCACUACCAGAUCACAGAUGAUGAAGUGCCAGUCGAGAAGCUGGAGGAGAUCAAGAGACGGUUGGAAAACAAAAUCUAUUCGGUGCUUCCUGCUGAAAAGACCAGCAUCUGUAGUGUUUAGAACACCAGAUGCUGGUAUGUCCAUUAGGCAUCUGAAGUAUUGACAAGACAGACCAGUUUGCUGUUCUAAGAUGGUCUUUUCAGCAGGGCCAUCCUUCAGUUUCUCUUAAUGUUGUCGUCUUCAAGAUAUCCAGGCUCCUUGCUAAUGUUUCUCAUUUUCCUUGAUAGUUUCACCAGUGCCAGAGUGACAGCCAAGUACCACGGCAUCAAGCUACAAUACAGAGAGCAGAUGCACCAUGUUUAUGACCUGCUGGGACAUCUGAAGUCUAAGCUGAGCUUGUGGAGAGGGCCUUACGGCUCUCAGGAGUCUGUUCAGUCUCUGCUACAAGACUGGCAUGUAUGUGGCCCUAUCGAUCAGUCAUUACCAAUUUGCCAUUGCCAUUUUUUUAGAAGCUCAGUUUUGAUUUGAGUAAAAUAAAGUCUGUGGUAAACAUUACUUUCA
ensembl:lncRNA